rnacentral:rRNA from 1 species
GUCUACAGCCAUGUCACCCUGAACGUGCCCAAUCUCGUCUGAUCUUGGAAGCCAAGCAGGAUUGGGCCUGGUUAGUACUAGGAUGGGAGACCUCCUUGGAAUACCAGGUGCCGUAGGCA